rnacentral:tRNA from 1 species
GGGGGUAAAGCUCAGUGGUAGCGUAUUUGACUGCAGAUCAAGAGGUCACAGGUUCAACUCCUGGUGCCCCCU